rnacentral:tRNA from 1 species
GCCGAAAUAGCUCAGUUGGGAGAGUGUUAGACUGAAGAUCUAAAGGUCCCUGGUUUGAUCCCGGGUUUCGGCA